GACGAACGCUGGCGGCGUGCCUAAUACAUGCAAGUCGAACGCACAGAUUAUACCGUAGCUUGCUACACCAUAGCCUGUGAGUUGCGAACGGGUGAGUAACGCGUAGGUAACCUGCCUGGUAGCGGUGGAUAACUAUUGGAAACGAUAGCUAAUACCGCAUAAUAUUAAUUAUUCCAUGAUAAUUGAUUGAAAUGUGCAAUUUCACCACUACCAGCUGGACCUGCGUUGUAUUAGCUAGUAUGUGAGGUAACGGCUCACCUAGUCGAAGAUACAUAGCCGACCUGAGAGGGUGAUCGGCCACACUUGGACUGAGACACGGCCCAGACUCCUACGGGAGGGAGCAGUAGGGAAUCUUCGGCCAUGGACGAAAGUCUGAACGGGCAACGCCGCGUGAGUGAAGAAGGUUUUCGGAUCGUAAAGACCUGUUUUAAGGGGAGGACGGGUGGUGGAGUUGAAAGUUCACAAUGUGACGGUAUCUAAUCAGAAAGGGACGGCUAACUACGUG
rnacentral:rRNA from 1 species